CCUACCCGUUCUGCCCGCCCUCCUCUAUCAAGUACGCCCUUCCCUUUGCCGUCUGGCGUGGUCUCUCAAGUAACAAUCUCCUCAUCCUACCGAAAAAAACAAUCUCCUCUCUCUUUCUCUCUCUCUUAUUCAUCAGAUCGCGAAAACCGCGACCCAAAUCUCUCUCUAAAGCCCUCGAUUUCGCCGCUCCCAUCUCCUCCCCCACCAGGCUCGCCUCCUCCCCGAGCUCGAUCUCUCGUUCAUCUUGCGCCUCUGAUUCGAUCCGCCAUCCAUCCGAUCUCGAGGCCGCCUGAUCGAGGCGCCCCGCCGCGUCCGGGAUUAGGGUUUCUCUCUCGUCGCGUAUUUAUUGGGGAGUUUUUUUUUUGGAUCUGUGGAUGGAUGUGGAGGGGGCGGAUCUAGGGUUUGGCGGGUCGGGAGGUUUCUAGGGUUUGGACGAUUCCAGGAGCUGGCGGAGGAAUUGAGGGUGGGGAAUUGAUGGUUCGCGCCGGAGGAGGGAUCGGAACAACCAAAACCGGGGAAGAUGCAAGGCUAUGCAUGGGCGGGAAGGUGAGGAGAGGAAACGGAGGCGGCACAUGCGGCCAGUCCCUGCGCCCGGCACAGCAGCAGCAGCUCUUCCACCACCGGCGCCACUAGCCACCCCACCGACCUCCUCGGCAUACGAUUCCCUUCAGUCUUCUGUCGAUUAUUUCAUAAAGGUGGAUGAAUGAUGGACUUCAGAGCAUUUUGAGAUAUGUGCAGUCGACGAUCUAAUGGUCAACGGGCGUGGAGGAAGGCGUAUCCUUCUUUUGGAUGAAGCCACAUGUUCCUUGCAACGGGUGGCUUAAAGGAUGGGCGCAAGAUUCGAGUUGGUGACUGUGCUCUUUUCCAGGCUGGCAACGCCCCGCCUUUCAUUGGAAUAAUACGCAGGUUUUCAACAGGCAAAGAGGAUUAUCUUAAGUUAUGUGUAAAUUGGCUUUACAGACCUACUGACGUAAAGCUUGCCAAAGGCAUAACACCUGAAGCUGCACCGAACGAGGUCUUCUACUCAUUUCACAAGGACGUGAUAUCAGCUGCGUCAUUGCUUCAUCCAUGUAAAGUUGCAUUUUUACGCAAGGGUGUCGAACUUCCAGCAGGAAUUUCUUCGUUUGUGUGUAGGCGAGUGUAUGAUAUUACAAACAAGUGUUUGUGGUGGCUAACUGAUCAGGAUUAUAUCAAUGAGCGGCAGGAAGAAGUAGAUCAACUUUUAGAUAAAACACGACUAGAGAUGCAUGCAGCAGUGCAGUCUGGGGGGCGUUCACCAAAACCUCUGAAUGGUCCGACGUCCACACAACAGCUGAAAUCUGGUUCAGAUAGUGUACAAAAUAGUGGCACCUCCUUUCCUUCUCAGUCUAAGGGGAAGAAGAGGGACAGAGGUGAUCAGGGCACAGAGCCCCUUAAACGAGAGCGCUCUGUUAAGACCGAGGAUGGUGAUUCUGUUAACUUCAAAUUUGAAAGCAUGAUAAAAGCUGAAAUUGCCAAAAUAACAGAAAAAGGUGGGCUUGUAAAUGCUGAAGGGGUUGAGAAACUUGUGAAUCUCAUGCAACUUGAUAGAAAUGAGAGAAAAAUAGACUUGGCUGGUAGGGUAAUGCUUGCUGAUGUGAUUGCGGCCACUGAUAAAUAUGACUGCCUUGGGAGGUUUGUGCAGCUUAGGGGUGUACCUGUGCUGGAUGACUGGCUCCAGGAGGCACACAAAGGUAAAACUGGUGAUGGUAACAGUCCCAAGGAAAGUGAUAAAGCCAGUGAAGAACUGCUGCUUGCUCUACUUCGUGCCUUGGAUAAGUUGCCUGUAAAUCUUAAUGCUUUACAGACUUGCAAUAUUGGCAAGUCUGUGAAUCACUUACGCAGUCAUAAAAACUUGGAGAUCCAGAAGAAGGCUAGGAGUCUUGUUGACACUUGGAAGAAGCGAGUUGAUGCAGAAUUCAAGACCAGUGAUGCGAAAUCUGUAGGGUCAAGCCAGGCUGUAGCAUGGCCUGUCAAGCCAGGUUUUUCUGAAGUUUCUCAUGGAGGUAACAGGCGUGCUGGAUCCAGUGAGGUGACUGUGAAAAGCCCUGUGAAUCAGCCUUCUCCUUGUAAAACUCUGCCCAGCAAGCCUGGCCAUGCAGAUUCUAUGACGAAGACAUCUCCGGUUACACCAGGAUCUUUAAAAUUGCAAUCACCUGCCUCGGGGGCUAUACCGAAGGAUUCAGUUGGCAAAACAGGUGGUGGCAGUGGGACUCAGGAGUUGCCACCAACUGCAGUGAAAGAAGAAAAGAGCAGCAGUUCCAGUCAAUCUCAGAACAAUAGCCAGUCUUGCUCCAGUGAUCAUGCAAAAACAAUGGGUUCUUCUUGGAAGGAGGAUGCAAGGAGUUCAACAGCUGGCUCAAUGAAUGCUAGCAAGACUUCUGGUGGUUCUUCUCGUCACCGAAGGUCUGGUAAUGGGCUUCUGGGAACAAGUAAUUCUGGAGUUCAGAAGGAACCUAAUUUGGGUAAGUCUGGUUCUCUUAGCAGAACUAUGACCUUGGAUAAAGCAUCACAAUCUGGACUGACGUGCGAAAAAACACCUGAUGUGCCUGUUACAGAUCAUGGAAAUAGUCACAGGUUGAUUGUUAGGCUUCCUAACCCUGGUCGUAGUCCUGCCCGAAGUGGAAGUGGAGGUUCAUUUGAGGACCCAUCAGUAACAGGUAGCAGAGCGUCAUCACCUGGGGCUCCUGAUAAACAUGAACAUAAUGAUCGUAAAAUGAAACUAAGGAGUGAUACCUGUCGGUCUCACAUUACCACUGAUGCAAAUACCGAGUCAUGGCAGAGCAAUGAUGUCAAAGAAGGGGUAGUUGGAUCCGAUGAAGCUGACAGAUCACCACCAGGUGUUCUUGAUGAAGAACGCAGGAGUGCUGAUGAGACUGGCAAGGUCUCUGAUGUUCCAAGAACUGCCUGUUCAUCCUCCGGGAAUGAAAAAGAGGUUUUCUUGUCUGAACCCAGGACAAGGAACUCUUUCAGCUCUAUAAAUGCAUUGAUUGAAAGCUGUGCAAAAUAUUCUGAAGCUUGUGCUCCUUUAUCGGCUGGGGAUGAUAUUGGAAUGAAUUUACUUGCUACUGUGGCUGCUGGGGAAAUGUCAAAGUCGGACUUGAUUUCCCCCACUGCUUCACCUCGAACUUCACCUGCAAGGGAGGAUCCUUGUACUGGUAAUAAUGAGGCCAAGUCAAGACUCUCAUGUGAUGAUGGCGUGGCCCAAAAUCAUGACCAGUCUGACGAAACCACUGAUGUCGACUCCGAGAAGCAUGGUAAAGGUGUUGAUUCUGUGUUAGCAAGAAGUGAAUCGCAACAGGCAGGCACUGAUUUUCCGGUUGAUCACAAAACCAUCAUGUCGUUGCAGGAUAAUAGAUUGAAAGGCGAGCAAACUGAACAAUCUCCUGUUUCCAGUACAAGUUUUCAUAAAACUACAGAUUCUUUUGUGAAGUCAGAAGGGAAACUUGAGGAAGAGAGAGCUGAUAGAUGUUAUUCUAUGUCUAGUCCAGCAAAUGUGAAGGAGGAGAGUGAGGUUGAUGGAGCGGAUCCACCCCAGGACAAGUGGAUAACUAGUGGCCAGGGUAUUGAUGGCUGCACAGAUAGUAAGCCUAAGUUAAGGAGCCCAUCAGUGGAUGAGCGUAAAACCAUUGAUUGUGCUUGUUCAAAGAUUGGAGAAAGUGGUUUGUGUGCUUCUGGUGUUGUUUGCAAGUCCUUGGCUGAUGCUUCUGAGUUUGAAAAGACUAUGUCAUGCAGAAAAUCUGAAAAGCUGGUAGUUGAAGAAUCUCCAUCUUGUCCUCCAAUCAACAAAGAACUGCCUGGUGUUGCCACCUUGACAGACCAGCAGCAACCUCCUGGUGUGGAAAAUCAUGCAGAGGCUUUAGAUAGAAGUGGUGAUGAUACCAUUGCUUCAUCUGGCAAUGAUAAAAUUCUUUGUCCCGAAAAUAAGGAUGAGUCCAAGACUAAGAAGUGUGAUAACUUGGGGGCUGGUAAUUUGGACUUCAGUGACAGUGAAAGGAAAGAAAAUUCUAGAAUUUCUCCUUCAAGCAUUGAUGAACGAGGUGGAUCAACUGUAGUGUCACUUCUCUCUGGCAAUGGGGUUGAUGGGAACUUAGAAAUAAAGGAGCCUAACGAGGUUUCUCCUGCUGGUGCUGCCAACAAUCAGCCGCCAUGUGGUGUUCCUCCCCAAGUAACUGAGUCAUGUGCAAAGUCUUCUGGUUCUAAGAUGUUUGGAGCUGAUGGUGAUGGAAAGGUGGAGCUUGCAUCUUCUGCAGAGGCUUCUUCAUUGGUUGUCACAGCUGAGCCAGAUGUUUCACCUAAGCUUGACUUCGAUUUAAAUGAAGGCAUUCCUGGAGAUGAUGGGAACCAAGGCGAACCAGCUACCUCAGCUGCACCAGUAUGUUCAUCUGCAGUUCAUAUGCCUAAUCUGUCUCCAUUUACAGCUCCCAUGUUAAAUGGAUUGCCUGCUCCAAUCACAGUCGCUGCUCCAGCGAAGGGACCUUUCGUUCCACCUGAAAACUUAUUGAAGACCAAGGCUGAGCCUGGGUGGAAAGGUUCAGCUGCCACCAGUGCAUUUCGCCCAGCUGAACCGCGAAAGGUUCUUGAGAUGCCACUUAGUGCUUCUGAGGUCCCAGCAUCUGAUGCUGCAGGGAAGCAGGGUCGUCCGCCUUUGGAUAUUGAUCUGAAUGUGCCUGAUGAGAGAGUUCUUGAGGACAUGGCUUCUCGGAGCCCUGCUCAAACAACAGGCUCUGAAUCGAAAGUCAUUAGCCAUUGUGAUGCACCCACCCGAACUGCCGGGGGACUUGAUCUUGAUUUAAAUAGAGUUGAUGAGGGUACAGAAAAUGGGCAGUUUUUGGCAAGCACCAGUCGUAGGUUAGAAGUGCCACUUCUGCCGGCAAGACCAGCAUCUGGAGGAUUCUCUGGUGGGGAUGCCAACAUACUAAGGGAUUUCGAUCUUAACAAUGGACCAGGACUUGAUGAAGUUGGUUCAGAACCGGCACCAAGGAACCAGCAUGUCAAGAACAGCAGCAGUAUGCCUUUCUUACCUCCAGUAGCAGGACUCAGAUUGAGUAACGCUGAAUCAGGAAAUGUAUCUUCUUGGUUUCCUCCAAGUAAUUCCUAUUCUGCUGUUGCUAUACCAUCCUUCUUGGCUGAUCGAGGGGAGCAGCCUUACCCUAUCGUUGCAGCUCCAGGGACCCAGAGGAUUUUGGGGUCAGUUACUGGUGGGGGCAUGUUUGGAAAUGAUAUUUAUAGAAACCCAGUGCUUUCAUCAUCUCCAGCCAUGGCCUUUUCGCCUGCUACUGCAUUCCCGUAUGCUGGCUUUCCUUUUGGCUCUAGUUUUCCUCUUGCGUCAACUUCUUUCUCAGGCGGAUCAACAACCUAUGUGGAUUCAUCAUCUGGAGGUGCUUCAUGCUUUCCUGUCAUUUCGUCUCAGCUUGUUGGACCAGCAGGUGCUGUCUCGUCUCAUUAUUCAAGGCCUUGUGUGAUUAGCCUUCCAGAAAGUAGUACCAGUGGUGGAUCUGAUAACAGUAAGAAGUGGGCCAGACAAGGUCUUGAUCUCAAUGCAGGUCCAGGGAGUGCAGAUAUGGAAGGAAAAGAUGACAGAUUGCCUUCAGCAUCAAGACAACUCCUGGUUGCCACUUCUCAAGCUUUUGUGGAGGAGCAGGCAAGGAUGUACCAGGUGCCAGGUGGGGGUUUGAAGAGGAAGGAGCCUGAAGGGGGUUGGGAUGCAGAGAGAUCCGGUUACAAGCAACUUUCACGGCAGUAGGGACAACUCAGGGCAACCCAUUUGCUCGGCGAGUUGAGGAUCUGGUGAGCCCCCAGCUACUCUGUUUUUCAUCAUGGCUUGUGAAAGUCUGAUAGUGUGUAUGGUGCAUGUGUUUUUCUAUUCUGGUGCACAUGGAUAAGGUCGACCUUAAUUUGCAGGCACAAGCACAUGUGGAAUCUCUUUCCUGUAUUGCUUUCUCACUAAGUUACACACACAAUCUCACAUGCAUCCUGGUGUUUGCCUCGAGGAUGAUGUGGAACUCUUUCAGAGGGAAUCGAACCUUGCUGUAAUUCAUGUAAAUGUUGAGGUAUGAUGCUCUGUUAGAAACGAUUUUCCUGGCUUCAGCAGUUGACUUUUUUUUAGCAUGUAUGGGCAUGUGUGCUGGUUUACUAAAGGAGGGUUUAUAUCGCUGGCCUUGGAGGAUGGAUGCUUAACAUGUCCGCCUGCGUUUUUGCUUCAAACAAUUGAUGUUAUAAUGCUUUAUCGGUUGGACAAUUAAAUAUGCCGUCUAGUCACCUCUUCAGUGGCACAGGACUCGCCUUCCUUGUGUGAAUGCCCAGACAUGAGCAUAUGUUGUUUGUAUUUUUAGUUUUAUUGACUGUGCAAUAACAUGUUCUCACUUCCAAAUUCUGUUAAACCUUGUCAUAUCAGAAGAUUUUGCAGCCAACCAUGUACUGGUAUGAGCUGUAGUUAAAACAUGUUUUUUUUCUUGUUGAAUGACAGUCACUUGAGCCGAAACCAGAAGGUUGUCAAACUUUUUGUAUUGUGGCUUA